AGCGAACGCUGGCGGCAGGCCUAACACAUGCAAGUCGAACGGACCCUUCGGGGUUAGUGGCGGACGGGUGAGUAACACGUGGGAACGUGCCUUUAGGUUCGGAAUAGCUCCUGGAAACGGGUGGUAAUGCCGAAUGUGCCCUUCGGGGGAAAGAUUUAUCGCCUUUAGAGCGGCCCGCGUCUGAUUAGCUAGUUGGUGGGGUAAUGGCCCACCAAGGCUACGAUCAGUAGCUGGUCUGAGAGGAUGACCAGCCACAUUGGGACUGAGACACGGCCCAAACUCCUACGGGAGGCAGCAGUGGGGAAUCUUGCGCAAUGGGCGAAAGCCUGACGCAGCCAUGCCGCGUGGAUGAUGAAGGUCUUAGGAUUGUAAAAUCCUUUCACCGGUGAAGAUAAUGACUGUAGCCGGAGAAGAAGCCCCGGCUAACUUCGUGCCAGCCGCCGCGGUAAAAC
rnacentral:rRNA from 1 species